UAGGGAAUAUUGGACAAUGGGCGAAAGCCUAAUCCAGCAAUACCGCGUGAAUGAUGAAGGUCUUAGGAUUGUAAAGUUCUUUCGGUGGGGAAGAUAAUGACGGUACCCACAGAAGAAGCACCGGCUAACUUCGUGCCAGCAGCCGCGGUAAUACGAAGGGUGCUAGCGUUAUUCGGAAUCACUGGGCGUAAAGCGUGUGUAGGCGGUUUGAUAAGUCAGUUGUGAAAUCCCUAGGCUUAACCUAGGAACUAUAAUUGAAACUGUCAUGCUAGAGUAUAGUAGGCGAUGGCGGAAUUCUUAGUGUAGGGGUGAAAUCCGUAGAUAUUAAGAGGAACACCGGUGGUGAAGACGGCUAUCUUGACUAUAACUGACGCUAAAGCACGAAGGCAUGGGUAGCAAACAGG
rnacentral:rRNA from 1 species